UGACCGAACAAAUUCACGAAGACGUUGUAACUUCAUUCUACGCCUCCAUUGCUGCCAUGACCAUGCAAGAGGAUACACAAGGAUACAAAGAAUGCUAUGCACUGCUCCUUCCCACCAUUGGUAGGCAGCAAUAGUAUUAAUUUCAUCCACAAAGGUGUUGAAGGCACCCUCAUAUACGACUUCUUUUAUUUGCUGGGGAGGAGUAUGAGACAGAUGCCAAGGUUCACUGAAUGUAUUCGGACCCAAAAAGUACAAUCUAUAGACAUGGCUUUGUGAUUCCUCAACCCUGUUUGUUUCCAAAACCUCAUUGAGUGACUCCAGAAACGGAAAUGAGUGAUCAAUUUGAGAACCCUGUUGUGUGGGAGCAGGACCAGGUGACUCGUCGACACCAACAUACUUCAUCCGAGCUACACUAAGAACUAAGGCUAAUAAAAUGAGAAAACCUAAAAGGAGAAAAACAAACAGCCAAGGCCCUCCAAAUGUGUAGAUUAGUUCUUCAAGAGCUGUAUAACAAUGAGGCAUAUGGUAUCUCUCUGAAACACAUCGGUAAGGACAAGGACGUUCCGUAACACCACCUCGAACAGAAAUAUAAACAGCUCGAUGUGGGAGUUCAUCAUUUGGGCAUGAAAUACAAAGGUUUCUAUCAGAUCCCGUGACAUUCUUGAAAGUACCAAGUGGGCAUUCCGCACAGAAAAUCCCAUAAAGCCCUCUUGGACAAGGCUUUCCAGACAAAGUUCCACUUCCACCAAUACCACCUUGCUCUCCACCUGAUCCACCCCUUGUAUAGAUGCUUCCAUUCACAGUCGCUAUAGGUUGAUACACAUCACCAGUAGGAAUUUCUGACCAGUGAAA
rnacentral:misc_RNA from 1 species